rnacentral:rRNA from 1 species
AUUGAACGCUGGCGGCAUGCCUUACACAUGCAAGUCGAACGGCAGCACGGGGCAACCUGGUGGCGAGUGGCGAACGGGUGAGUAAUGCAUCGGAACGUACCUUUCAGUGGGGGAUAACGUAGCGAAAGUUACGCUAAUACCGCAUAUUCUGUGAGCAGGAAAGCAGGGGGUCGCAAGACCUUGCGCUGAUUGAGCGGCCGAUGUCAGAUUAGCUAGUUGGUGAGGUAAAGGCUCACCAAGGCGACGAUCUGUAGCGGGUCUGAGAGGAUGAUCCGCCACACUGGAACUGAGACACGGUCCAGACUCCUACGGGAGGCAGCGGUGGGGAAUUUUGGACAAUGGGGGCAACCCUGAUCCAGCCAUGCCGCGUGAGUGAAGAAGGCCUUCGGGUUGUAAAGCUCUUUCGGCCGGGAAGAAAUCGCACGGGCUAAUACCCUGUGUGGAUGACGGUACCGGAAUAAGAAGCACCGGCUAACUACGUGCCAGCCGCCGCCGUAAGAC